rnacentral:rRNA from 1 species
UACAGAGGUCCCGAGCGUUGUUCGGAUUCACUGGGCGUAAAGGGUGCGUAGGUGGUGAGGUAAGUCGGAUGUGAAAUCUCCGGGCUCAACCCGGAAAUGGCAUUGGAAACUACCUUGCUGGAGGAUUUGAGGGGGGAUUGGAAUACUUGGUGUAGCAGUGAAAUGCGUAGAUAUCAAGUGGAACACCAGUGGCGAAGGCGAAUCCCUGGAAAAUACCUGACACUGAGGCACGAAAGCGUGGGGAGCGAACAGG